AUUGAACGCUGGCGGCAUGCCUUACACAUGCAAGUCGAACGGUAACAGGUCUUCGGAUGCUGACGAGUGGCGAACGGGUGAGUAAUACAUCGGAACGUGCCCGAUCGUGGGGGGAUAACGCAGCGAAAGCUGUGCUAAUACCGCAUACGAUCUACGGAUGAAAGCGGGGGGAUCGCAAGACCUCGCGCGGACGGAGCGGCCGAUGGCAGAUUAGGUAGUUGGUGGGAUAAAAGCUUACCAAGCCGACGAUCUGUAGCUGGUCUGAGAGGACGGCCAGCCACACUGGGACUGAGACACGGCCCAGACUCCUACGGGAGGCAGCAGUGGGGAAUUUUGGACAAUGGGCGCAAGCCUGAUCCAGCCAUGCCGCGUGCA
rnacentral:rRNA from 1 species